AGUUUGAUCCUGGCUCAGGACGAACGCUGGCGGCGUGCUUAACACAUGCAAGUCGAACGAUGAAGCCCUUCGGGGUGGAUUAGUGGCGAACGGGUGAGUAACACGUGGGCAAUCUGCCCUUCACUCUGGGACAAGCCCUGGAAACGGGGUCUAAUACCGGAUAACACUCCUGCCUGCAUGGGUGGGGGUUAAAAGCUCCGGCGGUGAAGGAUGAGCCCGCGGCCUAUCAGCUUGUUGGUGAGGUAGUGGCUCACCAAGGCGACGACGGGUAGCCGGCCUGAGAGGGCGACCGGCCACACUGGGACUGAGACACGGCCCAGACUCCUACGGGAGGCAGCAGUGGGGAAUAUUGCACAAUGGGCGAAAGCCUGAUGCAGCGACGCCGGGUGAGGGAUGACGGCCUUCNGGUUGUAAACCUCNNUCAGCAGGAAGAAGCGAAA
rnacentral:rRNA from 1 species